rnacentral:lncRNA from 1 species
UUUUUUAAUACUAUUUAAUUAGUUUAACUUUUAUAGAUUUAUAGAACUUUGUUUUUCAUUUCAGAUAUCUCUCUCAUAGAAUCACUUUUCUAAGGGCUUUAUCCCAAAAUAGUUUAGUCAAAAUUGCUUAAUCAAAAUCUCUUCAUGACAUCUCCUCAUCAGUUUCAUUUCAAUCACUCUCACAUCUUCAUCACAAUCGCUCCUCUUCGCAAUCCCUUCAUCGAAAUUGUUCUGGUUAACUUCUUCAUCGCAAUCUCAUUCUGUUCCAAUCGCUGAGUAAGAUUUUGGAUUUUUUGGGUUAAUUCUUCUGAUUUGAUGAGGUUAAGUUGAUUCUGAUUUUUGAUGUAAUUGAGAUUUUAUCGAAUUCGGUAACCAC